GGGCCCGCCCAGGGGCCACUCCCCAAGGGAGGCAGCCAGUCACUCGCCCGCCCUUCCGGGCCCACUCCGGAGGGGACGGUCUCCCGCCCGCCCUCACACACAGCUAGCUCCUCAGGCCAGGCCCCCAGGGUUUCGUCCACCUCUCACCUUUGACGACGCGAAUCAAGAAUGAGGAGGUGCUGCGAUCGAACGACUGCGAGGAAACACACCCGCUCUCAUGGCAUUCCCAGUAAACUGAGAAGACGUGAUUAAACCUCAGGAUCUCCUACUAAUAGAGAAAUGUAUAACGAUUUAGCUACCAGAUCUGAAUACUGAAGGGUUGGUAGGGGACCAGAGAAUAGAGGAAGCAUUGUAGGUUCUAGAGUGGAGAAGGGACCAUCCAAAAUGGAGUUUGAAAGAGAAUUCUGGCCUUUGUGUUUAGAGUCUGGAAUUGUCAAGAGUCUGAAAGCACAGAAUAAGACUGCAGCUAGAGCAAUUUAGGCGCCAUAGUUUGUCAAAACAGGUAAGGGGAAUAAAGGGGAUGACACGAAGAGAUGUGCAAAGAAUCUGAAGAAUUCACCUGAAAAGGAUACAACCUCCUCCUGGAAGGCAGAGGAGUAAAUAGGGAAUUGGAAAUUAAUUCCUUAUUUCUGCACAUGCACAGAAUCUGGGCCCAGGUGACUUAUGGAACCUUUAUAGAGACCAAGGUGACUGACAUUCAUGGGAAAGGGGGUAGAGGGGCAAGAACUGACUGUUCAUCAAAAAUUAUUAGAUGAGUGUGUCCACGACACCAGGAGAUAUGUUGAAUCAUGGACAGGGACCAGCAUAUCCACUAAGCUCUAUAUAUCUUGAUGGUGCAGGAUCCAAGUGGGAUGCAACAACAAAUUCCUGCCCAUCCUACUGCUCAAUAAUACAUGUGCUCAGAAUCUGUUCAUAAUGCAUGGUGAGACGGGAUCUCACUGUGUUGCUCAGGCUGGUCUCGAACUGCUGGACUCAAGUCAUCCUCCCAUCUUGGCCUCCCAAAGUGCUGGAAUUACAGUGGACAACCUUCAAUGCACUGGUACUUUGUACCCUGACCUCUACUGUGAUGAACACUCAACUUGGGCAAGAAAGUGAAAUUCUCCAAAGCAAGGAGGAGGGUGCUCUGAAUAGAUGGACCCUGAUUCUACUUACAAAACUGUGGGAAGAAACCGGAGCUUCCUCCCUCUCUGAGACAACGGUGCCACUGAGACUGCGUGAGAUGCGACGUAAAUUCUCUGCACUGUACUGCUCAUCCUCCCCACACUCCCUGCUGAGGCCUCGGCAAGGUGUAGCCUUCAAACACACAGACACAUACAGGCAGACACAUAAUACCAGACUUAUGGUUUUCCCACAGACAGUAUCCUCAGGGUAUGGGAAAGAGUAGGGGAAGACUCAGUAGUAAUAGACACCUGAAUUAGAUGUAUUGGUAAGAUAGUGGCCAUGUAACAAUCUCCUCUAAUUCAAAAGAAGCCCAAUCAUAGACCUUAUUUUCUUCUGAUAGCCCCAUAUCACCAUGCCUCUGCCUUAUCAUCAUCCCUGUCACAUCUCUCCAUAAUUCCUUCCCCAACACACCACCCCAGGCCCAGCACCUUAGCACCUGAGGCUGCUACCUGAGAAGUACGCACUGUUCUGGCUUCAUGGAGACCAUGCUCCAUUUCUGCUGCUGAAGUCUUUGAGAGACCAGGAUCAUGGGCUGAGUGCAACCUCCUCCCCAUGCCAUCUGCAGAGCCUGAAGAGGAAAACACAAAUACAAGUUGAGGCCAUCUCUUCCCCUAGGGCCUACCUCUAAGCCUAGCAGCACAAACUCAGGAGCUGUUGUUUCAUUUAAUAAUAAAUAUGCAUCCUUGAAUUCAACGGAGGAACAUGCUCCUGGAAUUUAGAAGCAAGAGGGGCUGGGCAUGGUGGCUCACACCUGUAAUCCCAGCACUUUGGGAGGCCAACACGGGCAGAUCACGAGGUCAGGAGAUCGAGACCACCCUGGCUAACACGGUAAAACCCUGUCUCUACUAAAAAUACAAAAAAUUAGCUGGGCGUGGUGGCAGGCACCUGUAGUCCCAGCUACUCGGGAGGCUGAGGCAGGAGAAUGGCGUGAACCCGGGAGGCGGAGCUUGCAGUGAACGGAGAUCGCGCCACUGCACUCCAGCCUGGGUGACAGAGCGAGACUCCGUCUCAAAAAAAAAAAAAGAAACAAGAAUUUUAGAAUAUAGAUAGUUUACUGAAUGUCCCCAUCUUGCUUCAUUUCAUUUUUGUAAACAUAAUCAGCUUCUGUCAGACUUAGGCUCAAGACUUAUAGACAGAGGAAAGUAUCUAACACAGUGAGUUUUGUUUUCUAACACAGUGAUUUUCUAAAGUAUCUGUGGUGACAAAGGAAAUUAUCUCCAGUGUAGUUCAGAAUAGAAAUGAUCAUAAUAAUCAUCUAUCAAACCUCCUCAUUUUAUAUAACAGGAAAAUGAGUUCCAGGGUCUGAGAGUUUAGUAGUUUAACCAGGAUUAAAAUUAAAUCCUCUUGAUUUUCAGUACAGUACUCUUACCAUCUCACCUGGUGACCUCUUUUACUCUGAGAGCAGGAGCUCCUCAGGAAUGUUUUACAUAUGUAAUGCUCUUUUCCCCUUAGCUUCUCUCAAAUCAUUUAAAUUUCUAAACAACCACUAAAUGCUUACCUCUCUUCAAAAUCUUUCUAGAUUGUUCAGUUGCUCUAAACUGGAUUGGUGACUCCCAAGGGGCUAUCCCCAAUCCAACUAAUUAAGUUUUCCAUUCCAAAACUGUAUAUGCCCCUGACCUACAUUUGAUACAUAUGUCCAUGGCCAAUUCAUGUCUUGAUUUGAUGAUUUGAUUCUUAUAUAUAUAUAUAUAUCUGGCUGAAGCUGAUAUUAUUCAUGUAAGUAUUGUAAGACCAGUUAUUUUCAGUAUUCCUGGGUACUUAAAUGCAGUGCUUUCAAUACCACCUCAGAUUCAUCUGGGAACUUUUAAAAAUAUAGCUUCCUGGAUGUUACCACAGACCUGAAUCAGAAGGUUUGUGGUUGGUGCCUGGGAAUUUUCAUUUUUGAAAGGUUCCCAAAAAGUCUAAGAAAAUAUCCUUGAACAUUAUUGGGGGAAAUGUGAAAUGUUACAGUCUUCCUAAAAAACAACCUGGUAAUCUCCAAUAAAAUAAAAAAUAUAUUUAUCCUGUUGCCCAAUGAUUCUAAUCCUGAGAAGAAGAAGAAAAAAAUACCAGUUCAUAACAACAUAUAUAUGAGAAUAUUUUCUACUGACAUAAUUUAUAGUAGCCAAGAACUAGAAAUAAAGUAAUGCCCACCUAUAGAAGAAUAAAUACAUUAUGGUUUAAUACCAAAUAUUGUCCAGCCACUUAAAAAGAUUGAACUGAGUUAAACUAGAUGAUUUGAAGGAAUUUUAAUGAAACAUUGUUGCAUUAAAAGGAAAAAAAUCUGUAAAAUGAUAGACAAGCAUUUGUUUAUGUAUAUGUAGGUCUACAUAGGAUUGUAUAAACAGAAAAUACAGUGUAUGCACACUAGAUAAUUACCUGGGGAAGUAGGGACUGGCUGUGAGAGAAGAGACAGGAAAAUUGUCUAUAAUAAAAACAGCAUGUGUGUUAUGUUCUUA